CCUACAUGACAGGGCUGUGAAAGAGCUGGGCAGGCCCAAAGUGGCUUGAGAAAGUAAAGGAAGGAUCCAGAUUUGGGCUCAGGGUCACAGAGUGGGGCCCAGGGGGAGUUCCUGCUGAGGGCAGGGUCUUUCCAGGCUCCAGUCUCCACCCCGAGCCAAAGGAGUGAGAGCCCAGGCUAUCAGCAUCUCCAGAUGAAGGCAGAAGGGAGAGGCUUAAACCCAAGUCACAGAUCUAGCAGUGGAGUCCGCCUGCCCAGCACCAUUUUGGAAGUGAGGAGCGCCUCUGCCCGGCCACCAUGCAACCCUCCAGGCCAAAUAAAACAUGGCAGCCGGCAGCUUUGGCCCUCCUCAGAGCGACCCCGAGAUACCCCGCUGUGCUGCUCCCGGCCCGGAGAUUUCCUACAGCUCUGCUCAGCACGGACAGCCCUCCUGCAGGCAGUGUAGGCCAGAAGUGAAGAACUUGGAGAACAAACAGACCUGGGUCCAAAUCCUGGUUGGAUCUGCUAUGAAGACCUUGGGUGAGUUAUGGAAUCACUCUGAAGUUUGGGCUUCUCACUAAUAAAAUGGGUAUAAAUAACACUAUCUAUCUGAUAGGGUUGUU